UACGUAGGGUGCAAGCGUUGUCCGGAAUUAUUGGGCGUAAAGAGCUCGUAGGCGGUUUGUCGCGUCGGCUGUGAAAACUCGGGGCUCAACCCCGAGCCUGCAGUCGAUACGGGCAGACUAGAGUGCGGUAGGGGAGACUGGAUUCCUGGUGUAGCGGUGAAAUGCGCAGAUAUCAGGGAGGGAACACCCGGGUGGGCGAAGGC
rnacentral:rRNA from 1 species